AAGGACAAUUAAAGUUUGCAAAUGAUAUUCAGGGGUAAAUUUAAUCACAAAUGAAGAUAAUAUUUUACAGUAAGGUCAGUAACAGGCAUGAGUUAAAAAGGUUGGUUCAGUAGUCUGAUAUUGAAUUAGACAUUCAGGAACCUCCUGGAUUUUGUUUUUCUUUCUUUGUCUAAAUAGCAAUUACUUUUAAAAAGAAUGGAGCAAUUAGUAGUACUCUUAAUGCAUACUGAUCCUUGUUACAAACUGUUGUGGUUUUUCUAGGCUAGACUUGUUAUUGUCUCCUUGGCCCCUUUAUCUGUCUUUCCACCCUGGUGCGAUUGGGAUAAAAAAAGGGUUGGGUCUGAGCUCUGAGGGGACACCAUUACCUUGUUUAUAUUAGCCUUUUCAACCUUUCUUCUUCUCAUUCAUGGAAAAAUAUGAAGGCCAAUUUCGUUGCAUUAUGGCUCAAAUUAUCCAGCUCAAAGCAUUUAUUAAAGUCCUGCAUUUUAUUCUGCAGAAGAUUCUAAAGAUAGAAGGAAGGAUCUAAGGCGCCACCUCACCAAAGUCGUAAAGCUUGGAUUGCUGAUUGGUUAUGGGAAAAAUUCAUGCAGUCCUCUCUGAUGGACCAAUACCGUACGUAGUGAAAAAUGUUGAGCUGUAGCACUAGAAUUAAACUCCUGCUUUGUCCUGAUACUCACACAUGGAAUAGAGAGGAGAGAUGCGCUGAAUGAAACCACAUAAGCUCAGCUCCUCAAGAAGACCGAGACCACUGAACACACACUGGCAGCAUCAACUGCGGCGCUUGAGCAAGAAGAAUUUCAGGGAAUAUAUUCCGGAGUGCAAGCUGAAGUGUUGCUCCUACCGAUGUGCAGCUGGCUCAUUCAAGAACACCACGGGCUGAAUUUCUUUGCUUGA